CUUUGCUUUGUUUUUUAGCGUUUCUAGCUUUCUGCCUUCAAAAAGCAAAACUCCAGCAAUCAAAGAAGCAUCAACUUGAAAGUCAACACUGAGCCUUUCUAGCUUGAAGGGAGGGAGACAGUUUAUGAGGAAAUGGCUGCUUGUUUUGUCUGCUUGUACACGGCUGGACACAACAGCAGAUGGCUACACUCUGGAGUUGUGUGCUCCCUGCAGCUAGUUUGUCAAAUGAACAUUGGAAGGCCUUAGCUCUACAUGUAUCUCUCCUUCCCUUGCUCCUCUCGCAGACCUGCGUGCUCAGCCCCCAUGUCACCAGAAGGAGCUCCCUGCCUUCAGCCAUUAGCCAUCCAUUAGCUAUCCCACUGUGCCCUGGGAUAGCAUUUUGAACCAAUAUUUCCAUUCGGUGUUCCCACACCACAGUCUGGAGAUGGCGGGACACAGGCCUUGUUCCCUCCAGCAGGAGUUUUUACCCCAACGAUCGAUCCAAUCAGGUCUAAGGGAUUCUAGCACAUCCCAAGACUCCUUCACCAGAAUCAGGCUGGCCUAGAACUUGUGUAGCUCAGGCUGCCCCAAA
rnacentral:lncRNA from 1 species